UGGGGAAUUUUGGACAAUGGGCGAAAGCCUGAUCCAGCAAUGCCGCGUGAGUGAAGAAGGCCUUCGGGUUGUAAAGCUCUUUUGUCAGGGAAGAAACGGUGAGAGCUAAUAUCUCUUGCUAAUGACGGUACCUGAAGAAUAAGCACCGGCUAACUACGUGCCAGCAGCCGCGGUAAUACGUAGGGUGCAAGCGUUAAUCGGAAUUACUGGGCGUAAAGCGUGCGCAGGCGGUUUUGUAAGUCUGAUGUGAAAUCCCCGGGCUCAACCUGGGAAUUGCAUUGGAGACUGCAAGGCUAGAAUCUGGCAGAGGGGGGUAGAAUUCCACGUGUAGCAGUGAAAUGCGGAGAUAUGUGGAGGAACACCGAUGGCGAAGGCAGCCCCCUGGGUCAAGAUUGACGCUCAUGCACGAAAGCGUGGGGAGCAAACAGGAUUAGAUACCCACGUAGUCCCUGAGCGGGCUGGCAAGGCGCAU
rnacentral:rRNA from 1 species